rnacentral:rRNA from 1 species
GAUAGGGUAGGGUGAGGUAGCAGCGGCGGGGGUCUACGUUAGAGCGGCGGCGGUGCGAGCGCGUGCGAGCGGCGGCGGUAGGUAGGUAGGAGAGCUCGAGCGCGUGCGAGCGGCGGCGGUGCAGGCGGCGGCGUCCGCCGCAUGCACUUCGAGCUCGACGUGCGCGAGUUCGUGGGCCGCCGCCGGCAGUUGCCCGAGGAGCAGCCGGCGGACCGCCUGGGCCGGCGGAGGGGCCGGCAGCAGAGCCAGCGGCUGCGGCACGGCGAGAGGGUGAUCGGCGUGGUGGAGGGCGACGAGGGGUGCGAGCUCGAGCGCGAGUGGGAGCAGCUCCUGGUGAAGGUCCGCGUCCCGGAGCGGCAGCAGCCUAUGAUGGUCCGGUUGCGCGCGGCGCUGCUGCGGCUGGAGGGGCGGCAGCGGUUCGCGCAGCCCCUGGUGUAGAAGGCGAUGAAGGGGGCGCGGCGGCACGACGACCAGCUACGACACGAAAGGAGACAAAGGGGACAGAACUCGCCAAUACCCCCACGCCUCUAGAGCGAACCCACGACUAACCCCAAGAGGAAAGACUAAAACACAACUAAGCUAGUCGACCUGUUGCACUUCGAGCUCCUCCACCACUUCCCCUCGUCGGCGCUACGUCAACAAGUCCAUGAGCGGGUACUAGAUACCUUUAGUCAUAGGGAAGUAACGAAAGUUUAACUAUCGCUAAUCAUACAAAGAAUCUAUGACAUAGAAGAUAAUUCAAAAAUGACCAUUGAUGCUUUUAAUCUGGUACAUAACUGAAAGAAGGAUCACUACCUUAUCUAGAACGUCGUUAUAAUAACUGAACACUCUGAGGGUGAUCUAUUAAGUGAAGAACGAUCCGUAUCAUACGACAGAACGUUCAAUUAACGAAUUAAACAAGCUUACGAGUCAAUAAAAACCAAUUCAAACUUGAUUAAGAAUUCUUUAGGAGAGUACGUGGGGUCGGGAGAUUAGUUAUACAAGUUUACUACUUACCAGCUUGUACUCGUAAUAAAAGAGACAGAUCCGGAAAAAAGACAGUAAAAAGUACGUAACUUGAUUAACACGUCACCGAAACCUUUCUCUUCCAAACGAAAUAUCGACGAAUUCACAUAUGAAAGACUUAGUAACAUCUUAAUAUUGAAAAUUGAUUAUACGUGACGGAGGUGUACCGAUGGUACAAAGUAGAGUGUUUAGUCAUUCAAUGGAUUCUUAAUUGACUUGUGAUCGUAUAAGCAACUUGAAUCGCAGAAUUGGUGAUACUCGUUACGUAUAUAAAAUUAAAUAGUGUUGAAUUAAACUUUUCAACGACUUGGUUGUACGUCUGAUAGUAUACGGGUAGAUUUACGGUACUUUACGUUCGUCGGUAGAAGACGUACUUUAUUAAUAAAUACGAACCCAAAUACUUAGUGACCACGUUAAACAAGUGGAAUUCACGUUUUCGUCCUCAUCGUCGUUAUACAAACCCGUAUACACAAGAUACGGAUGAUUGUCUCUAUCGUCACAAUGUGACAAUGAAGUAAUGGAAUACUGAAUUCUUAGUCAAGACCUCAACAGUAUAUUAAACAACUCAACAGUAUAUUUGCCAGCAGAGAAAGCUCGCGUUUCUGCCCAGACGCCACCUACGACCCAACGUCGAGUCCAGCUACCACGCCGGUACCUGUGUUGGAGGAGUUGGAGCUGUUGGUUACGCAGCCGUCCCCUCGUUGAUUAAGGACUUGGAAACGAAGAGGAGAAAAUUAAACUUCAAGAAUCAAAUCAAGGUCUAAAGAUACGUACGGUGGAACUAUACAAACUACAAGUAGCUAGCAGGUCUAAAUGAUCGUGUGGUCUAUCUUAAACCCUGACUACGGUAAGUUAUCUAAAAGAUCUGUAAAAUAACACAGAGUACGACUUUUUCUUUUACGUGUUACUCGAACAAACUGAAAAAACUACGAAUCUCAUAUGAACUAGUCCCCCGUCACAAUAAAGGACACUAGAAAGUACAGUAAACGAUCACACUACGAAGUUCUACUGUUUAAAUUUUUGGAUUUGAUAACAUUUAUUCGCAAGACGUAGAACUCGUAAAUUUACACUCGUGAAUUGGUAACAUGUCGAAAACGUAUAAAACAAAACAUAAAGAAAAUAUUUGAUCGCCCCACUGGGCACGUAAACGCGCCGAUCUAAAAUGUUUUCUACAUAGAGAGGAUUAUAUCUCUAACAGAACUUAUGAGAUGGACCUGGUAACAAAGAAUAUACUUGUACAAAAAAAGGACCUUUUGUUAUGAAACUUUUGUUUGGUAAUUACCUUAUAAGGAACUACAUUAGUUCGAUUUCGAAAUUUUACAACUAUCAGUAAGAAUUUUUACAAAUUCACAUGUUUAAAAGAGAUAUCGAAAAUCCUAAGUAACAGAUAUCGAUUAAUCUUUGGUUUCCUCAUUGUACAACUCCAAUACGAAAUUCUUUAGGAAAGUGUAUUAAAUUUUCAAGUUUAGAUUUGUAACAAUCUUCGAGAGAAGAUGUGACAAGAGUAGUUUCGUAAAGAAAAAUUUAGUACGUAUAUCAAAAGUAGAUCAUUAAUUCACUUUGAUUAUACUGAAUAGUGCAUAAACUAUAAUAAAGAAUGAAACUUAUAAAUGAGGACAUACUACAUUGGUAAGGUACUACCGAAGUCUAUCAAGAAUUGUACUCUUUCUGUAUUUUAAACUCAACGGUUUUGAGUUGAGAGAAGGUGUCAGGGUAGGUUGAGUUAGAACAGCUAUGUAUAUAAUGUAAAAAGAUACAAAACAACUGUUUCGUUGGUUGCAUAGAACUAUGUAGACGACGUACAAUGUAAGUGUACCCAAUAGGCAAAAGUAUAACACGUACCAUGUCUUUUAUUUACUUUAAGAUUAAAAUAAACUUUGACCUAGGCACAAAGUCGUGACAAAAUCAAGGUUUCAACGAAUCUAAACAAAUACAAGUUUUUCUUACAUGUAAUGUAAUAUAAUACAGAAUUUUUAUUCGUCCCACAUAGAAAUAAGACAAUUUUAUCAAAUCAAUCCUAGGACCUGUACUUUCUACAUGGAGUGGAAGGAGGAUCUUGAUUACAUAUAUGUACACUUUUAUCGACCCAGAAUGUAACGCGAAGGUGGAAAUUAAUAAAGAUAGUUCAAUGCAAAUGGCGUUUUAAGUCCGGGGUAAACCUCAAGAUAUUUCACACUAUAAGAGCGUUUUAAUUUUUUUUCCUCAUUUCGAACUAUAAGGAUUUUUUAUAAUAUUAAAUUUAGUUUACGGGUGGCAUUUUUUUUAAUUUAGUUUACGUAAUGAAGAACAAUCCCUAAAGUAUACGUCUAGCCUGACGAAAGGAGAAAGAAAAGCAUGAAAAGAAAUCGAUACCUGUACCUGCACUGUAACCAAAUCCACCGUCCAAACGGAGACACAUCGCGACCGAAACAAAAAAAAAGAGGAUAAUCUUAAGUUUAGUCUUAACCCGUACACAACAAAACGCACGUUCAUAGGAAAAAGUAUAUGCAACUGACACCAACGGGAAAAGGUACGUAUAAAGGCGUAGUAUUAUUAGAAGAAGAAGAUUGAAAGAAGAAAGGGUAAAAUGUCUAAACGAAUUCUAGUGCCUUCGAACCCAACUACCUCACGAACAUAAAUCAAAAACAAAAAUAGAACACUUUGAACGAUGGAUACCUACUUUGACACAUUAUAACUACUUUGAUGCACAUACAUACCUACUUUGAACGAUGAUAACAAUUGUACACAACCUAUAUAUACACAAGUACUGAUAACUAUUAUACACAACUUAUACGAUAUAACC